GGUCGAUCAUCAGGAGACAAACAAGGGGGCAAACCCUUGUUCGUUCAAUAUCAUCAAAAUUGAAAGGGAAAUUGGAGCUCAAACUCAUGAAUGAACAUGAAUUAACGAUCAUCUAAACAAGGGGAUCAUAAGUUUGACGCUUGACAAGCUUGGGAAAGAAGCAUGUCAAACGGAUCAAGUACCCGGGGAAAAAGCAUAAUUGGAUGCAAGGCAAGUAAAGUUUACAUCUUUAAAAUGGAUUAUUUAUUCAUAUAUUUGGUUAAGAACAAGGUGACUUAGUAUUUAAAAUAAGUCCUUGAAAUAUGACGUACCGACACGAAUUAAUACGGGUCGGAACAAGUAAGAAUGGUAAGAAACCAUAUUUGGUAGUAAAAAGGGUAAAAUGGUAAUUCGUCACGUGUUGACGAAUAAACAAUAAGUUUUGAAAAGUUACCUUAUGGUGUAAGCCAUAAAUAAGGGCUGUAAACAAACCGAACGAACACGAACAAGGCCUUGUUCGUGUUCAUUCAUUAAGGAAAUAAAUGUGUUCACGAACACAAAUGAACACAAAUAAAUUUGGCGAACGCGGCGAAGGAUAAAGAUAGAUGGCCCAGAGAGUAGCACUCGAACUUGAAUCCCUCAUUGUGGAACGAAGGUCGAUCGUAUUCGACGAUGUAA
rnacentral:lncRNA from 1 species